UUAUUUUAUAAUCUUGUUUACGGUUUAGAGUACCGCAAGUGCUCUUUCGUUUAUUUUUUUUUCUGCUUAAAAAAAGAACUUUCGUAAUUUUAUUAUUGUGUGGGUAUUUUCUGUUUUAAAACUUUAAAUUACCUUGUGAAACGUUAUUGAAUAGGUAAAACCCUAUUGUUAAUUGCAAGGACGAAGCAUAUAUACAUAUUACCUGGUCUUUAUUAGUAAUUCUAUUUGUGAUCA
rnacentral:lncRNA from 1 species